rnacentral:lncRNA from 1 species
GGUAAUUUAAUGGGUAAUGAUAUUUUCAUCCUAGGAAGUUACAGGAAUAUAGUUCUUAAAUAUACAUGAGUCAUCAAGGCAGUCAAAGCUAUAAAAUGAGGGGUAACUUUGUCAGGCAUUGGGCAGAUGCACCACACGACACUUGAAAUGACAUAGGAACAUACAAAAAACAGUUGACAUCAGACUUCAGGUAUGUGGUGGUGAAAAGAGGCAUAAAUAACUGUUUUCAAAGAGGUUUCCUUUCUGACCUGGCAGUUUCUGUAAUAUAUUUAAAAGCAGUAGGAUUGAAACACAGAGCAUCUCAGCCAAUAAUUAGAAAAAUGAAAAUAGUGCUUGCUAAGAAUGUCGCCUUUUACUAGAUGGAGAGUGAGGACUCUCUGAAGCAUCGAGGCGUGUAGCUGAGAAAUCCAGCCCAAGUCAAACAAUGGAACUGAAAGAAUGUUUCAGAUCACUGAAACUUCUCUGUUCCUAAAAGAAGAAAAAACCCCCACCCACAGACUUAGAGGGUCUGAAACUGCUAGUGAAGAAAUAACCCUAGAAGUGAAAUGAGCACAUGCAAAUAUUACUUCAUAUAAAAUACUCUCACACAGUUCAGCAGAAAGUAGAUCAAUUUGAACAGAGUAUCAAGUGAUGUGAUAUGGUGGGGCUGUGAGUAACUCCAAGCCUGGCCCAAGGACAGGAGCUGCAGUUGCUCUGCCCUGGCCGUGCCACCUUCCAGAGGUACUGCCGGCGAGUCAAACAUCCGAGGAACGUGCCAGCGGAGUCAGCGGCAGGGACCGCCUCUCCCAGCUGCGGGAGAUGGCCGUGCCGCAUCUCCGGGGAACUGACAGCCAGCCCCUCCAACGCUGCAAGCUGAAAGCAGCGGGAAGUUGAAAAACAGGGCUGGGGCGUGGGGAACUCAGGUUCCGGAGCUGGUCCCGGAGCCUCUCGCUGCUCUCCGCAGAUGUGGCUGUGAAAGAAGGCGGCUUCAGAGGGCAGACACUUCCCGGCUCCUUGCCGGGCGGGCCGCGUAUGCGGUUGUGGGACCCGCCU